GUGAUCGAGCGACGCCGCGUGCGGGAUGAAGGUCUUCGGAUUGUAAACCGCUUUUCCCUGGGAAGAACACUUAGGUCGUGAACUUAAGUUUGACGGUACCAGGGGAAUAAGCACCGGCUAACCCUGUGCCAGCAGCCGCGGUAAGACAGGGGGUGCAAACGUUGUUCGGAAUCACUGGGCAUAAAGCGCACGUAGGCUGCCAACUAAGUCAGAUGUGAAAGCCCCCGGCUCAACCGGGGAACAGCACCUGAUACUGGUUGGCUUGAGGACGGUAGGGGUGAGUGGAACUCCAGGUGGAGCGGUGAAAUGCGUAGAUAUCUGGAGGAACACCGGUGGCGAAAGCGGCUCACUGGACCGUCUCUGACGCUGAGGUGCGAAAGCUAGGGGAGCAAACGGGAUUAGAUACCCCGGUAGUCCUAGCCGUAAACGAU
rnacentral:rRNA from 1 species